GGGUGAAGGAGUAAGGCCGCAGGUAGACUACCUGUUUGAUAGGCCGCAGGUGUAAGCGCAGCAAUGCGUUGAGCUGAGCGGUACUAAUGGCCGAGGGCUUGACCUGCUUCAG
rnacentral:rRNA from 1 species